rnacentral:rRNA from 1 species
GACGAACGCUGGCGGCGUGCUUAACACAUGCAAGUCGAGCGGUAAGGCCCUUUCGGGGUACGACGAGCGGCGAACGGGUGAGUAACACGUGGGUGACCUGCCUUUAGCUCUGGGAUAAGCCUGGGAAACCGGGUCUAAUACCGGAUAUGACUCCGCGGCGCAUGUUGUGGGGUGGAAAGCCUUGUGGCGGCUGGAGAUGGGCCCGCGGCCUAUCAG